ensembl:lncRNA
GGGAGGGAAAAAAAUGAUAACUUGUUCCGUGCUCUUCGAGGGGUUUCAACAACCCUUAAAAUUUUACAAGUAUAGGGAGGAGGGAGUAUCAUGAAACCUUUUCUCAAUUUGUAACAGCAAACCUUAUCCUAGUUAAGAUUAUAUCACUUAUCUGUUUUUGUUUUUGUUUUUAAGAAAGAGGAUUGUGCUGUUUACAUAUUUAGUGUACUGUUAUUUUUCCAGUGUCCCAUCCCCUGCAUUCCUCUCACAUGCUCAUCUUUGUAAACUGCUAUCAGUUCUUCAUUUUUCUUCAGAAGUAACCAAAACUUCCUUAUCAAUUAAAAAAUCAAAGGAUAAGAAGCCAGCCAGCUGCCUACAAAAUGCCAGCCCUUCUCAAUUUCAAUUUAUUCUUUACUCUUCCAGGACAUGUUUGAGAGCAUGUAAAGCAGGGAGGCAGCAUCAGAGGUCUCCAGCCAUUAACAAACUUACCACCAUAUCCAGUGAAUUUUGAGACUUCUCAGUAAGGGGCUAUCUCCUUCCUCUUCCCCUGCCUAUACUCUUCCAUCCUACGAUGGAAUGUCUUCUAUCUCAGUCACCUAAUGAUUACAAUUUGUUUUUCUAAAGGAUCAUUAAGUGAGCUGGCAUUGUUGAUACUUGGAACAACUGAAUUCCAGAGAAAUCAAUGAGUCCCCAAGCAGAUCUAUUAUGGUCUGACCCUGUUGGUAAAAUAAUGUUCUUCCCUUUUUCACCCAUCUAUACCGAGGAGAAGAAGGAGUUCUCAGGGGUGUAAGUAAUUACUCUUUUUCUUGCCAACAAUGCCAUCACUUGUACUGCUUUGUUGGGUCAAAGGACUGGAAUUCACCAUAUCCUGGUUUUGUUUUUUUUUCUGUGUUAAGUUCUUGUUUUACAUUUCAGAGCUGUUUUUAAUAGACUAGAGACUGCGUAAUGGGUGAUGUUUUAGUUAUGAAUGCAAAAGACCAAUUUCAAUCCUAGAGUUCGUGUUAUUCAGAGAGGAAGGAAAAUCUCGGCUAUUGUCAAGCCAGUACUGGAAUUUCAUCAGGCUCAUGAAGAGUCUGUGAAUAGGUCCAAGACAGGAAAAAAUAAUAAAAAAUAAUAAUAAAAAAAAAAAGGAAAGGAAAAGAAAAGGGAGAAAAAAAAACCCUACAACACAUUACAAAAAAAGUACUGUAUGAUAUUAAGUUUUUAUUAAUAGAUUACCAUCUAUUAAUUUAUGAAUGCAUAUGGAACGAAAUAAACUAAGAAACUGAGUGCAAGAUACUUUAAUCAUCCUCAAACGCAGAUCAGCUGAAAGGUGUAAUAUCAGAAAGCAUUGUGUGGAGCCAAAACCAGACGCUCCUUUAUGUGAUAUUACCUUUCAAAACCUUACUCAAAAGAGAAACAAUGAAUAAGAAUGUAAGCCUAGUAUUAAAGCAGUAAUAAACUAGAUCGCUUCAGAUAACCUGCAGUGCUCCCUGGUCAAAACACAGCUCUCACUGUUAUGUUUAUGAUAGAGUCCUACAGGUGAUGGAGUACAGCGUUUUUCACUUUUUGGGGAGAGGGUUUAUUCCCAAAGGGCCCGAGCCAGUUUCUGUAAGUAUCUGUGUAUCUGAAACACGAGCACACUCAGCAUAAUUGCAUCUGCCUGGGACAAAACUUAGGCCUUUUUUCCUCUUUGUUAUGAGAAGUGUGUGUGAUCAUGGUUAGAACCUAGAAGUACAUAACUUUAUGUUUCAAGUUUGCUCGAGAUUAUACAUGCUCCACAGGAGGAAGCUCACAGCUGAGUUCCGAAAUACUUCUUCAGACAAAGAAAUCUUAAGGCUAUCAAUUUAAAUCACUGUAGUGAUGCAAAGCACAGAAGUUACUUCCUAGUGCUGAAUAACGUGCUUUAAAGAGCUAUAGGUUAUAUUCAAAACACAGACACCUGUUGUCGUGAUGGGUGAUUUGUUUCAUAAACUUUUCAGCUGUGGGGCUGAACAUUUUUGUUCCAUCAUUUUCCAGCCUCUGUGUGGUGAGAGGAAAGUGGCCAUUUCUACUAAAACAAACUAAUUACUGCUAAACAGGCGAGAAUGUUGUUAAUUAAGGGACUUAAACAAAUCACACAGUUUGUGAAACAUUAAGGUCUGUUAUAAGAUGAUAAUGAUAACUGCGAGUAUUAUAACUGCCAUUAUGAAAAUGUUAGGAUAAAUGUUCUGGAAAUAAUGCAGUCUCUCUUCUAUAGUUUCACAGUGAACUUUUUUACUCCUUUAUCUCCGAAUUCAUGAGCGUUAAACACACACACAGCUUGGAGCACUUCACAGAACAGAAUAAAUACGUCUCCUCUUUCAAAUCAAUAAAGCCACUUCAGUUAACAAAGACUUCAUUCUUGUCGGAGCAAUAAAAAUCUAUAUAAUGUUUGCUUUGAUUACUGUACUGGGAUAUCUUUUGCCUGUACAGUUGGAGCUCUAAUUGCCCUGCCACCAAGAGGCCAGGAGAAAAAAGACUGAAACCACACAGCCAGGCGUAGCAUUACAGGCGUAGCAUUACGGCUUCCAUCAAACACUCUGCCCGGGAAUCUGAGGGUUACCCCAUGAAAGCUUCUUUCUGUUAGGUGAAAAAAAUAUGUACAUAAUCUGGCUAUUCAUCAGUGGGAGGAAAUGCUUUCUAGGAAGCUGCAGUAGCACAGCCAUAGGGAGAGCUGCAUUUUGAACCCACUGCCCAGCAGAACGGUUUGUCAACUUUCAAGCUGAAAAAAAAAUAGUAAUAAGAAAGGGAAGCGAGGCUGCUGUGUUCUGGCUGUGCUUGUUCUCUCACAAAGCAGAUGUAAAUGGGGAGGCUGGGACCCCUGCCAUGUGCUCGGAGUCCCGCAGCUUGCUUGAUGCGAUCUGCUUUCACCAAACGGCUCGUGCAUAAGCCUGCACAUGUAUUUAACUCUGAUGAAAACCUUUAACAAUGAGAAAUAUGCCGGUUUUGGACCAGAAGAAGACAGAUUAAUGUUACAAAGGCCAAGCUUGAUUCUGAACGUUGGGAAAUCUGCGGUGGGACGAUGCAGGGGCUCAGGGAGCCUUGCCCCGGGACGAAACGCAAGGAGCCGUGGGAGCGAUGUGCCGCCCGCCCCAGUGAGAUGCGCCGGGGCCGGAGGAGACUGCGCCCGCCCUCUGCCGGCAGCAGCCCGCCGCGCCCGGGGACGCGCAGGAGGGAGCGCAGUCGCGGCCACGCAGCGGUCCGAGCCGAGAGGGGCCCACGGGGGGUGACCGAGACCUCCUCUUGGCUCCACGCUGUGCCUCCCAAAAUUCGGCAGCAGGGUUCGACUUCGGUGUUCGUGCUGCGGGAUUUCGGGCAAAUCAAGUGCGGAGACCGAAAGGAUCAAACUUUGUUUUUUUUUAAGUGCUACAGAGUAUUUGUAGAUGGGAAUAAAUAAAUAAGAGAACUGUCACCCGUUCCUAGACAACUCGCAUGAAAGAUAAAGCUCUUUGACAUAUCAUUUGGCUGUAGUUUGAGGGCAUGGAUUUCAAUAAUGGGCAAGGAACCAAAGCCUCACUGCCUUUCAAGGAUAUAACAUCCCUGAGUACUGAAAGUGGCACUUGCACAUCUUUGAGUCUUUUGUCUUUAUUCCCUAGGCGUACAAGUCUGCAGCUCCAGCAGCACCCUACUGCACAAGUUACAAGCUCAGUGUUAACAGGAUAAUACGCAGAGCAUCCAGUAUCCAGCAGGAGCACAGGUACAGAACUUGACCUGAAUGUUAGCAUAAUUACUUGAAACGCUCUUGUAGUUCAAGACCGUCCCCUUCAGACAUCAUGAGAAGCCCAACUGUUCUAAAGAGCCGUGAGGGCAACAUUAAUUGCCAUACAUUUAUUAAGCAAGCAGGAGCGUGUGCAGCCAAAAAGGUGUCAUGAACAGGACAUCAUGCUGCUCCCCAGUGAUUCAGCACAGAUCUGGAGGGUUGGCUAUUAUGAGGUGAAACACAGUUUAAAUCCUUUCCUCUGGGUAGGGGGGUAUGGUUUGACCACAGCCAUGCUAAUACAACACUCAGACAGAAAAUUUAGCACACAGCUAUAGCAUGUGAGCUUGGGUGGUCUUUGGAAGAUCUGGUUCCCUAAAUGAGUAAACUACACAGUGAUCUGGAAGUGAUUCUGGAAGCUGAAACGCAGUCACCUGUUUUCAUAGAUUUUGCUAGCUAUGAAAGAAACUUUCCUCGGAUCACAAUGCCAUCACAAACAGUCAUUCCCAGCAUGAAGAAAAAAACCUCAGAAAUUUCAACUGGGAAUGAUGUUGUGUUGCUCUCGAAAUGUGGGUAGUUUCAUUUGCAGAUGCACAGUGUCACACAAAGCAAUUGCAGAGGAAGUAAUUGCCUACAGAGAUAAAACUGCAGUAUUUGAUGCCUUGUGGUGUGUAUGUCAGUGAAGUAAGAGGUACGUAUCAUACCUGCUUUUUUGAUUGUACUAUGCUGGGCUCUGCCAUAAAAUAAGAACAGCAUGGCAGAGCCUGAGGAAAUGGUACAACCAAAAGCAGGUGUGUGUGGUAUGCCUUCAAUGACAGGCAAGCCACAUGCUGCCCAGCAAUGCAAACAGCCAGGGGAAGAGCUUGCAAAAUGUAGCCUUUGCUCAAGUACUUCAUGCUGCUUCAGGUGUGUUCCAGUAGCAGAGAGCACUCUAUCAAGUGUAAUCACCUGAGGUGGAGCCUCAAUCUGCUCUCUUAUAAAUACUUGUGAAGCAAGUGCUUCCUCAGGUGAGUUGCCCCACAGUGACAGUAUCUGCCUAGGGACACAGUGCUCAGGGCAGGAAUGGGUUACAGAAUCUUACCUGUAGUCAUCAACCCAUGGACAAGGCUUCCCUGCUUGUUCAAACCAGCACCGCUCCCACCUAACACAGAGUACCUUAUACUACCUCUGCUCCAGUCAUGGUCCAAAUUUCCCAGCUCUAUGCAAUGGGGAUCAGGAAAUCAUUGCUUUUAUACAGUGCCUGCUGCAGUGUAUCACUUCACCUGAGCUGUGCCACUGUUACAACAGAAAAUAUAAGUUCCCAAUCCAUUGAACGCUGUAACUAGAUUAAAUUUUUGUAUACAUUGUUAUAAAAGUAGAGACUCUCAAGAAAACAUCUAGAGCAAAAUCUGGUAACUUAUACUACUAUUCUCAAUGUUAAUUAUGAAAGCCGAUAGGACUUUUCCAAUCCAACCUACCUUCUACUUGAUUGUUUCGCAACUCCAGCUGCUUGGGCAAUAAAACCCACUGGAGACAAAUGUACCAGCACUGCUCUUUCAAAAACUGCCUGUCAAGAGUUGGAAAUUCCUGAGCUGACAUCAGGGGUGAAAAAUUUCAAGUACUGAUUAGAACCUUACUCUCAUUUAAAAAGCUCUUUUGGGAAACAGACAAACAAACACACACACAGGUUACAUAGAAACACACAAACAUUAGCCUUGUUUGCACAGGCUCUUGCUAUGGAUAUGAAGAGCACCUUCAUAUUUCUUGAAUCUGGCUGAAGAUACCAGCUAAAACAGCACUCAUUAGGCACCUAAAUCCACUUUCCAAAGCAAACUGUUUGACACCCCAAAUUUCUGUCUAAAAUUGGAGAUUAACAUCUGCUUCAGAUAAUUUUCUGAUGGGUAUUCAAUAGUUAUUAAAGGCAUUUAAAGACAAUAAAAUGAUAAACUUAAGGUGGGAUAUAUUUUUAAGUCACCCACUUUUCAAACAUUCAAGAAAAUAUCCUUUCCAGCCACAUUCCAUCAGAAAGCAAAAAGCAAAUCCACUUUGGAAUAAACCCAGGCAAUUUGCACUUUCUAAUCCCAAAUCCCUGAAUUAUCUCAGUCCUUUAACUGUGUCAAAUCUGAAACGUAUUAAGCCAGGCUAAUAAUUCUGUUCACCUCACAGGGAGAAAGCUAAAGAGUCCUUGGGACAGCCUGCCUCUUGUAUGGGCUAUGUCCUGUGUGGUGGCAUUUGGGAUGCCCAGGCACAGGUAGCAUUUCUCAGCACACGGAGGACCUCUGAGGAUGCUCCAUGAUUUGGGCAUGUGCGUCAGAUCGGAUGCACUCUCUUAUGCAUAAUGGAGCACAGAAAAAUUGGAAAGCACUUUCUCCAGAGAGCCUCUGUUUGGCUUUUAAGUGCUGUUGUUUGAACUGCCUUCUGCUGGUCAAAGCAUAUCCACUUCCAGCAGGAAAGUGACUCCUCCACACCUUAGGCUGCACUACUCCGGUUGCUUUGUCUACCACACCUUGGGUAUUCAGAAAAGACUUGCUUUGUCCCCCAGCUGAGAGUUAGCUGUCCCCAUGCUGUCACUUGCGUCCUGACUGUGAGCAGCUCUGCUCCCCAUGCACUAUACCCGGGCAGAGGCUGACACGCUGGCAGCCACUAGAGAUCCCCAGACAAGGCUGCAGGGACAUCGACUUGAAAUUGGGAUGGACCUAUUUAAUGAGGUCACUGAGGUACUAACUAGAAACUAAGCCUGGAACUACAGGUAUUACUCCUGGGAAGACCCAAAACAUCAAAAAUAAAUUAACUCCAUCUAAUGGAGGAGCCAGACCUCCCUCUCCUGUCUCUCGUGGCACUAGAUGUGCCCGCCAGCUUGUGCCUCAAUGCGUACAACUUCCAUCUUUCAGGGAUCUGUUUUCUUGCCUCUGCAAAGCUUCCUCUAGCACAAGAGAAACAGUAAGUACCCAAUGAAUGACAGAAGCUCCCAACUUUACCGAGUUAUGGCAAAACUGGCAAACAAAUGUCAUAGAUGGGGAAAUGCUCUGUUCACUUCCCACGGCAUAAGGCUGGGGAGUACGAGGUCUGGGAUGUGUAUAGGGCAUAAGUAAUACAACAAACAAGCAAACAAACAAACAACAACAAAAAACCAACUUGUUCUGGAAUUAUGUUCUUGUUCAGAGUAUCCUUUCCACUGCUUACACGGCCUCCAAGGUGGUGACAGAGCCUCAGUGUUUU